rnacentral:rRNA from 1 species
AACGAACGCUGGCGGCAGGCUUAACACAUGCAAGUCGAACGCCCCGCAAGGGGAGUGGCAGACGGGUGAGUAACGCGUGGGAAUCUACCUAGUUCUACGGAACAACACAGGGAAACUUGUGCUAAUACCGUAUACGCCCUACGGGGGAAAGAUUUAUCGGAAUUAGAUGAGCCCGCGUAAGAUUAGCUAGUUGGUGGGGUAAUGGCCUACCAAGGCGACGAUCUUUAGCUGGUCUGAGAGGAUGAUCAGCCACACUGGGACUGAGACACGGCCCAGACUCCUACGGGAGGCAGCAGUGGGGAAUAUUGGACAAUGGGCGAAAGCCUGAUCCAGCCAUGCCGCGUGAGUGAUGAAGGCCUUAGGGUUGUAAAGCUCUUUCAGUAGGGAAGAUAAUGACGGUACCUACAGAAGAAGCCCCGGCUAACUUCGUGCCAGCCGCCGCAGUAACAC